CGGUAACAGGGGGAAGCUUGCUUCCCGCUGACGAGCGGCGGACGGGUGAGUAAUGCUUAGGAAUCUGCCCAGUAGUGGGGGAUAGCCCGGGGAAACCCGGAUUAAUACCGCAUACGUCCUACGGGAGAAAGCAGGGGAUCUUCGGACCUUGCGCUAUUGGAUGAGCCUAAGUCGGAUUAGCUAGUUGGUGGGGUAAAGGCCUACCAAGGCGACGAUCCGUAGCUGGUCUGAGAGGAUGAUCAGCCACAUCGGGACUGAGACACGGCCCGAACUCCUACGGGAGGCAGCAGUGGGGAAUAUUGGACAAUGGGGGCAACCCUGAUCCAGCCAUGCCGCGUGUGUGAAGAAGGCUUUCGGGUUGUAAAGCACUUUCAGUAGGGAGGAAAACCUUAUGGUUAAUACCCAUGAGGCUUGACGUUACCUACAGAAGAAGCACCGGCUAACUCCGUGCCAGCAGCCGCGGUAAUACGGAGGGUGCAAGCGUUAAUCGGAAUUACUGGGCGUAAAGCGCGCGUAGGUGGUUUGGUAAGCGAGAUGUGAAAGCCCCGGGCUUAACCUGGGAACGGCAUUUCGAACUGUCAGACUAGAGUGUGGUAGAGGGUAGUGGAAUUUCCUGUGUAGCGGUGAAAUGCGUAGAUAUAGGAAGGAACACCAGUGGCGAA
rnacentral:rRNA from 2 species